AGCAGCCGCGGUAAUUCCAGCUCCAAUAGCGUAUAUUAAAGUUGUUGCAGUUAAAAAGCUCGUAGUUGAACCUUGGGCCUGGCUGGCCGGUCCGCCUCACCGCGUGCACUGGAUCCGGCCGGGCCUUUCCUCCCGGGGAACCGCAUGCCCUUCACUGGGCGUGUCGAGGAACCGGGACGUUUACUUUGAAAAAAUUAGAGUGUUCAAAGCAGGCCUUCGCUCGGAUACAUUAGCAUGGAAUAAUAGAAUAGGACGCUGCGGUUCUAUUUUGUUGGUUUCUAGAACCGCCGUAAUGAUUAAUAGGGACAGUCGGGGAGACUGGUAUUCAAUUGUCAGAGGUGAAAUUCUUGGAUUUAUUGAAGACCAACUACUGCGAAAGCAUUUCUCAAGGAUGUUUUCAUUAAUCAGUGAACGAAAGUUAGGGGAUCGAAGACGAUCAGAUACCGUCGUAGUCUUAACCAUAAACCGUG
rnacentral:rRNA from 1 species